rnacentral:rRNA from 1 species
GACGAACGCUGGCGGCGUGCCUAAUACAUGCAAGUAGAACGCACAGGAUGCACCGUAGUUUACUACACCGUAUUCUGUGAGUUGCGAACGGGUGAGUAACGCGUAGGUAACCUGCCUGGUAGCGGGGGAUAACUAUUGGAAACGAUAGCUAAUACCGCAUAAGAACAUUUACUGCAUGGUAGAUGUUUAAAAGGUGCAAAUGCAUCACUACCAGAUGGACCUGCGUUGUAUUAGCUAGUAGGUGAGGUAACGGCUCACCUAGGCGACGAUACAUAGCCGACCUGAGAGGGUGAUCGGCCACACUGGGACUGAGACACGGCCCAGACUCCUACGGGAGGCAGCAGUAGGGAAUCUUCGGCAAUGGGGGGAACCCUGACCGAGCAACGCCGCGUGAGUGAAGAAGGUUUUCGGAUCGUAAAGCUCUGUUGUUAAGGAAGAACGAGUGUGAGAAUGGAAAAGU